UGUGGAUAGCGUAUCGGUGCAGAUUUUCAUUGUAUUUUCAAAUAAUUCUCUUGGGAAAAGAUUAAAUUGUACUUAUAUAACGGGUUCUUUGUGUGUUAUAGCGUAUUGGUGUGUUAUUGUGUAAGAAUAACAGAUGUUUUGAUGCAAUGGCUAUGACUGCUGAAGAAGUUGCUCGCCGCUUUCCAAUUCACUGGUUGGUGUGGAAUAAUGAGCACGAGGAGUUGAGGAACUGUUUUGAAAAUAACAAGUAUACACCAGAGGAACUUGAGACUAAGGACACUAGAGGCCGCACCCCACUGCUGUUGGCCGUCACAUUAGGUCAUGUUGAAUCGGUGCGUGCUCUAAUAGAUGCUGGUGCAGAUGUUAACUGUGAAAAGGAUGGAUGGACUGCGGUACAAGAAGCCACAGCGACUGGCAACGUGGAGCUACUGUCGCUGGUGUUGUCGACGCGUGACUACCAGCGUCACGUGGUCCGCUCGGGCGGCAUCCCCGACCUGCUGAGGAGGCUCAGCCUCGCGCCGGACUUCUACGUCGAGAUGAAGUGGGAAUUCACCAGUUGGGUGCCGCUAGUAUCACGAAUGUGUCCGUUCGACACGUACAAGGUGUACAAGCGCGGGGGCAACGUCCGCGUGGACACCACACUCGUCGGCUUCGAGAACAAUCGCUGGCAGCGCGGCGACAGGACUUAUAUCUUUAGGGGACAAGGGCGGUCGGCCAGCCUGGUGGAGCUGGACCACGAGCUGGGCACCAUGUGGUGCGAGUACCUGGAGCCGGCGCCGGCCGCGGCCCGCGCGCCGCCCGCGCCGCCGCCGCACGUGCUGGACGCGCGCCUCGCGCAGCCGCUCGCCAUCAACUACCUCGACACCGACAAGAUAUGCUUCGAGAGAAACAAAAGCGGCAUCUGGGGCUGGCGCCAAGACAAGACAGAGAAUGUAAACGGCUACGAGUGCAAAGUCUUCGGGGCUAACAACGUGGAGCUGGUCUCCAUGACGCGCUCCGAACACCUGCCGCGCGGGGAGAGGAGGCCGGAACCCCGCGCACCUCUAGCAGGGCUGCUGGCCAUAGCUGACCGGGAUCACGAUGAUCCACCAACCACACCCACGGAAACACAAGAAGACUCACCUCGCAGCAGUAGAUCCAAAGAAUCCAAAGAAGAGUUAGAGUUAGAACCUGUAACGUGGGAGCAGUACUUCUCGGAGUCCCCACUGGAGCGCGACAUCGGCCGGCCCAAAGAGAUCGCCACCAAGGUGCAGAAGUUCAAGGCUACGCUGUGGCUCUGUGAGGACUACCCCCUAGAGCUACAAGAGCAGAUAAUGCCAAUCCUCGACCUGAUGGCCGCGAUAUCAUCACCACAUUUCGCCAAGCUGAAGGACUUCGUGCAAAUGCAACUGCCCGCCGGAUUCCCUGUCAAAAUUGAAAUCCCUCUCUUCCACGUGCUGAACGCGCGGAUAACGUUUGGCAACAUCUUCGCGACAGACACGCCCGUGCAGCACAUCGAGUGUAUACAGGAGGGAGACCGGCUCUCGUGUGUCGUCGACGAUGCUUGCUUCGCUAUCGGACGAGGUUUCACGCAGGUAUCGCGCGGCCGGCGGCGCGGACGCUCGCGUGUGCGCCGACGACGAAGAAGGUCUGCUCCAGUACGCCAUCCAGCAGAGCCUCAUGGAAGCAGGCACUCACGAUGACCAGGUGGACGUGUGGGAGGCGCUGCGGGGCGCGCGGCCCAGCACGCCGCAGCCGCGCCGCGACCACGAGCCGCAGCUGCUGGCGCACGAGGAGCGCCAGCUGCAGAGAGCGAUAGAGGCGUCUCUCGCCGCG
rnacentral:misc_RNA from 1 species